ACAUCGAAUAAUUUUUCAGGGUUAAUUUUCUUCCUCUUGUCUAAUUUUUUUUUUAAGUUUGGAGUCAUUGUAUGAAGAUUAUUAGACCCAUCCUAUCCUGGCAAGGAUGCUGUAUCCCAAGGAUUCUGCUUCCAUCCGAAGGACAGCUCUUCUGCACUUUGCCAAUUUCUGUGCUCCUUCUACCGACCCUGAGUUUUUAUUUAGAAGGUCAAAUGCUUGAGAGAUAACUUGAUAAAACAGUCAAGAGGGACACGAAGAUCUGAACUCUUUGGUCUCCUUUGGGCUUUGACCUGAAUCCCAUGUACACUUGAGUUUAGCAGGCCUCAGAAUGACCAAAGACAAGAAGCUAAUUGGCCUUUGCCUUCUCAGAAAGGUCCUCUUUCUCAAGUUCUCUGGACCAUCAAGCUUUCUCCAGCAAUCUGAAGUGCAGUGAUUGAACACAGCUUAAUUAAUGAUGACAGGAGGCAGCACUGAGAGGCGGAGCCACGGUUGGAAGGGAGCCUGUAUCCUGAGUCAAGACUUAGAAGAAAUCCACCUGGGAAAGCCACCUAACCAGCAUCAGAAUGCAAAGUGGACUAGAAACAAAACAGCGGUUUCUUCAACUUCCAAGGACAAAGGUGUAGUCAGAAAAUGUGAAUUGGACUUGCCCUAUAUCUGCCGAUCUGUCUCAUCCUUGAGUUCUUGUGACAUGUGACACCUGGCAAAUAUUUGUUGAGUUGACUUGAUGUGAUAGAGUUACUAGAAGAAAGAACUGCUGCUGACAGGUAGGCAGCACUCACAGCCCUCUCUGUUUUAUAUUUUCUAUAGAGCUCAAGCUCACUCCACAAAGUGCCACUUGGUAAAAGCAGUUCUUUUCUUUUUUUCUUUUUUCUUUUUAUUUUUUUAAAAGAUUUUAUUUAUUCAUUCAUGAGAGACACAGAUGGAGAGAGAGGCAGAGACACAGGCAGAGGGAGAAGCAGGCUCCAUGCAGGGAGCCCGACGUGGGACUCGAUCCCGGGUCUCCAGGAUCACACCCUGGGCUGAAGUCGGCACUAAACUGCUGAGCCACCCAGGCUGCCCUCUUUUUUAAAAGAUUUUUAUUUUAUUUAUUUGAGAGAGAGCGAGAGAGCGAGCACACAGGUAGGCUGAGCAGGAGGCAGAGGGAGGGAGAGGGAGAAGUAGGCUCCCCGCUGAGCAGAGAGCCCGACACGGGCCUUGAUCCCAGAACCUUGGGAUCAUGACCUGAGCCGAAGGCAGACACCCACCUGACUGAGCCACCCAAGAGCCCCAAAGCAAGUGUUUUCUGUAUGGAAACCAUCUUGGUCCACAUGUCCUUGGAAGGUACCCUGAAGCCCAGGCCGAAUGUAGACUUUCCUUCGUGAUAGUUGUAGGGUAUUUGUAAGAGACCAAUCACACCACCCUACUGCCCUGAUAGCUUAGACUAGUCCUUGCACAGUUGGAUAUAAACAGGACUUAACUUCCAGCCUCCCCUGGAAUUGGUGUCUUUCUUAGCCUCACACACCACAUGAUCUCUCGAGCUCUUCCCCUUCCCCCGUUAAGGGCUGCUUUAGGAAAGAACUUGACUCAUUUGUUCUAAGAGCUUCAGGUUUAAAUAGUCUCAUGAGUUUUUGCAUUUUAGGAAAACUCCAUGGACAGAACUUCAGGUGAAUGAGGUUGCUUUUUGGUGGUAGUGUCAGGAUACUGGCACAGAGGGGGUAACUUCUUGGUACCCUUCACCACUACUGGAGUUUCCUCUUAUAGGCCUCUUAUAGGCCUCCUCCAUCUGUUGGCAGCCUAGGUCUGGUUCAGACAUGUGGACUUGGGGCAUAGUUGACCCUUAGAACCAUUGCUAAAAGCACCAGAGGAGCAAAUGUCUACUUGGCUAUACCACCAUUUUGUAAGCUCCAAAGCAUUUCAUUUCACAAUUCCAUUUUGUUUCCUUUCCCCACAAGUUAACUAAGGCAUCUGGCAGCAAAAUGUAGAGUCAGCAGGAACAAUUCUGUUUGAUUUUUGCUGCCUGGAGACGUCUCAAAGUUGAACACAAUCUUAACCCCGACUGUGCUUCUGGAAGUUGUCCUGAACACAAGGAGCUGGGGCAUUUAUAUAUCCAGAAAGGAAACUUAAUAGCUAGUAAUGAAACUAUAUACCAAACAUGAGAAAAGCCAGAGUGCAAAAAUAACAUGUGCAGAAUUACCCCAUUUUGGUAAAAUAUAGGCUAUGUAAAAACAUACACAAUAUUUUUUGUGUGCUUACUGUGUGCCAGGCACUUAGCCAGGUGUUUUAUACACAGUACUUUAUUAUAUAUAAUUGACAAAAACCUGGGAAGGCCAUUCUUAUUAUCCCUAUUUUACAGAUGAGCUCAUGGAGGUUCUGACUUGGUCAAACUUGACUAAAGUCACAUCAAUAAUAUGCAGGAAAAGUCCAUGACCCACUAGAACCCUGUGAACCCUUACUGUAUCAAUCUGUAAAGAUAAAUCACUGGUGCUACAUCGGAAUAUAAGCUGGUAGAGGAUAAUGAGUAAUUUUUAUUUUCUUCAUUUUGCUUAUGUUUAUUAUCUAAUCUCUUUCCAAUGCAUAUCUUUUGUUAACAAAGUUAUUCCUUAAGUAAGAAACUUAUACCAAAUAGAGGCUUCCCUCACCAUCCAAAAGUCAAACUUUUCCAUAAAAACCUUCCAUAGCCAAAAUGUCAUAAAGAGAAGAUGCAAUUGCCAUUAAUUUAUAUGGAAACAUUUUGGAGCAUUCAUAGACCUCCAAAAUAAUCUCUUCUAGGUUUUUCUGAUACUUUAUAACACAUCUUACUAACAGAUGCAUAGAAUUAAGAUAAAACACAGAUGCUCACAGAUACAGUUCAAAUCUCUAAUGGCUUGAUGCUGAGAUGCUGAGCAUAGCUCCGGAGGUGAAGGAACUGGAUGGCACCAUUCUUGCUACUUGGGGUGUGCUGACUCUAUAAGGCUUGUUGCAAAACCAAUGCUGUACACUUUUGUCACUUUUUGCCUUUUUCCAUAAAAGCAAAAAUCCUCUUAGGAUUCUUUUGGUUAGCGAAAAAAAGUACUAAUGCAAGCCUCUUGUAUAAGUGAAGAAGUGUAAGGCAAACUUUCAAAAAGUGGGGUACCUGUCCCAAACAGUUUAUAGAUGAGUUAAAAUAUAUUUGCUAUGAAAGGAUGAUUUUUAAAGUUUUAAGUAAGUUCUGUUUUUCUGUUUGUGAAACUAUGAAGACUUCAGUAUUAGUUUGCUAGGGCUUCCAUCACAAGGUGCCAUAAGCUGGGUGGCCCCCCUGCCAGUACUUUGAUCUCAGACUUCUACUCUCCAGAACUGUGGGAAAAUAGAUUCCCAUUGUUUAAGCCACCCAGCCUAGAAGCUGAGGCUGCAGAAAUAAAUAAGAUAGCUAUGACCCUGAUUUUAGUGCU
rnacentral:lncRNA from 12 species